rnacentral:rRNA from 1 species
UACGUAGGGACCGAGCGUUGUCCGGAAUCAUUGGGCGUAAAGAGCGUGUAGGCGGCUAUUUAAGUCCUGCGUGAAAUCCUGCGGCUCAACCGCAGACGGUCGUGGGAAACUGGAUGGCUAGAGUGCAGGAGAGGAGAGUGGAAUUCCCGGUGUAGCGGUGAAAUGCGCAGAUAUCGGGAAGAACACCCGUGGCGAAGGCGGCUCUCUGGAACGCAACUGACGCUGAGACGCGAAAGCGUGGGGAGCAAACAGG